rnacentral:rRNA from 1 species
AUUGAACGCUGGCGGCAGGCCUAACACAUGCAAGUCGAGCGAGCGGCGGCCGGGUGAGUAAUGUCUCGGAAACUGCGUGAUGGAGGGGGAUAACUACUGGAAACGGUAGCUAAUACCGUAUACCAUCAGAUGUGCCCAGAUGGGAUUAGCUAGGAGGUGGGGUAACGGCUCACCUAGGCGACGAUCCCUAGCUGGUCUGAGAGGAUGACCAGCCACACUGGAACUGAGACACGGUCCAGACUCCUACGGGAGGCAGCAGUGGGGAAUAUUGCACAAUGGGCGCAAGUCUGAUGCAGCCAUGCCGCGUGUGUGAAGAAGGCCUUCGGGUUGUAAAGCGCUUUCAGCGGGGAGGCGUUACCCGCAGAGGAAGCACCGGCUAACUCCGUGCCAGCAGCCGCGGUAAUUC